rnacentral:rRNA from 1 species
GAUGAACGCUGGCGGCGUGCCUAAUACAUGCAAGUCGAGCGAACGGACGAGAGGCUUGCUUCUCUGAUGUUAGCGGCGGACGGGUGAGUAACACGUGGAUAACCUACCUAUAAGACUGGGAUAACUUCGGGAAACCGGAGCUAAUACCGGAUAAUAUUUUGAACCGCAUGGUUCAACAGUGAAAGACGGUCUUGCUGUCACUUAUAGAUGGAUCCGCGCUGCAUUAGCUAGUUGGUAAGGUAACGGCUUACCAAGGCAACGAUGCAUAGCCGACCUGAGAGGGUGAGCGGCCACACUGGAACUGAGACACGGUCCAGACUCCUACGGUAGGCAGCAGUAGGGAAUCUUCCGCAAUGGGCGAAAGCCUGACGGAGCAACGCCGCGUGAGUGAUGAAGGUCUUCGGAUCGUAAAACUCUGUUAUUAGGGAAGAACAUAUGUGUAAGUAACUGUGCACAUCUUGACGGUACCUAAUCAGAAAGCCACGGCUAACUACGUG